AUUGAACGCUGGCGGCAGGCUUAACACAUGCAAGUCGAGCGGGGUGAUGGUGCUUGCACUAUCACUUAGCGGCGGACGGGUGAGUAAUGCUUAGGAAUCUGCCUAUUAGUGGGGGACAACAUCUCGAAAGGGAUGCUAAUACCGCAUACGUCCUACGGGAGAAAGAAGGGGAUCACUUGUGACCUUGCGCUAAUAGAUGAGCCUAAGUCGGAUUAGCUAGUUGGUGGGGUAGAGGCCUACCAAGGGGACGAUCUGUAGCGGGUCUGAGAGGAUGAUCCGCCACACUGGGACUGAGACACGGCCCAGACUCCUACGGGAGGCAGCAGUGGGGAAUAUUGGACAAUGGGGGGAACCCUGAUCCAGCCAUGCCGCGUGUGUGAAGAAGGCCUUAUGGUUGUAAAGCACUUUAAGCGAGGAGGAGGCUCUUUUGGUUAAUACCCAAGAUGAGUGGACGUUACUCGCAGAAUAAGCACCGGCUAACUCUGUGCCAGCAGCCGCGGUAA
rnacentral:rRNA from 1 species